GACGAACUGCCCAAACGUUGUUCGGAAUCACUGGGCUUAAAGGGUGCGUAGGCGGCUUAUCAAGUCAGGGGUGAAAUCCGGCAGCUUAACUGUCGAAGUGCCUUUGAUACUGGUGAGCUCGAGGGAGGUAGGGGUCCGUGGAACUUCUGGUGGAGCGGUGAAAUGCGUUGAUAUCAGAAGGAACGCCGGUGGCGAAAGCGACGGACUGGAUCUCUUCUGACGCUGAGGCACGAAAGCUAGGGGAGCAAACGGG
rnacentral:rRNA from 1 species